UCCAAAUCUUAAUAUUAAGUAAAGGAAAGUACCUGCACCAGAUGGUUUUGUACCACACGCUUUCAAGUUGGAGAAAUUGUCCAAUAAACCUUAUCUCUAUGCUGAGGCAACGUCAGUAGUCAAUCUUAAAAAAGGAGUUGCUGGUUUGUUCCAUAUAUUGUAUGUGGAAAUGCGUGAGACUGACGCUUCAGGAGAAUGUACUGCAAAAUAUUUCUCAACAUCUCAAAUUUGACCAAACAAAAACAGUUAUAAAAUCAUUUGGAUAUACGGAAUAUAAUUUGUAUCUUAUGAACAAUAUUAUAAAAUCGAUGACUUCUAAGGAGAGCCAUCAAAUGUUCGUUUCAGCGAAAGAUUUGGGUAAUUUUGUUGAGGCGGGACAAAUUUUAAGUCUAUUUGGUCGCAGUAUUUCACUGGGAUGAUUUAGAGACAGUAAUCGUUACUUAUAGUGGUAUAUUUUACAAUCAGGAGUAUGUUCUAAUGGACAAGGAGGAAGAUAACAAAGAUGUUCAAAGUUUUCCCGUUCUAGUGAACGAAUUAAGGAAUAGUAUAAAGAAUGAAGCUUUGGAAGAAUUAAAAUCACUCAGAAGCUUUAUAAUACUUAUUAACACUGGAAGAAGAGCCAGUAAAGGGGAAAUCAUCAAAGCUCUUGAUGAUAAGGUGAAUAAAAAUAUACUGAAAGUUUUUAAUAAGUCUUAUCGUAUUAAUUAACAAUGUGUUAUAUUUUUAGUUUACAUAUGUAUGAUGUGAGUUUCAUUCAAACUGUUGAUUCAAAUUCACAACAAAAUAUUGGUAUUUGAUAAUGAACAGAGUAUCGAUCAAAAUGAAAGAUAUUUAUGGGCUUUGUCCAUUUGUUUCCAACCAAAUCAUGAUGUCAUGAUAACCUUUUAAACAAUUACAAUAAAAACAUAAAUAUCCCAGCUAAAGUCAAAGAGACCAUCAUUCUCAUUUUGGCUUCUAAAUCUAAAGUUCUCCAUGAUGUGGAAGAAACUAUUAAACAAUUUAGAUUAUGGACGUUCUAAUUCUUCCAUGCAUUAGACAAAUCUUUUUGGAAUAAAUUUGUUCUGAAAGCCGCAGAAUAACCUUCUUUCAGUUGGACAAGAAACACGAAACAAGUUCCAGAACUAUUUCUUUUGUCCAAUCCCUCAAAUGAAAUGAUUAAAAAGUUGUUGGAAUAUUUAUAUUCUAAACAUCCUGGAUUUGAAAUCAAACAAUAUGCACUGCAAACUCUUGUUGGCCGAUGAGAAUCUUGAGUUUAAAGAGAAAUUGAUGAGAAUCAUCUGAAGCGACAACAAACUGAACAACUACUCUACUUUGUCGCCAAGAGAAAUGUCGACUGCUUUAACCAGAAACUUGAUGAAAACUCCCUCGUGUAAUGCACCAAGAAUUGAAAAACGGAAUCGCAAAGGUGUCAUGAUGGACAAAGAUGGCUUUUUUCAAGAAAUUUUCACCGCAAGUAACAAUUUAACUUUUUACCCUUCCUUACUUUGAGGGUUUUGUGUUUCUGCAGCUUGGUAUAUUUUCUGGUGGUCUUUCCAGUUUCAUGUUCAGUUCUUGGGACGCAGCUCAGACCGUACGUUUUCUUCAGCCGACAAGGCGAACUUAUGGGUCACGUUUCGUCUGGAACUGCUUCCGAGAAACCGCCUGCGUCUCAGGCUAAUGUAUUGUUGCAAGAUCAUAUGAAAUACAUUUUUUAGAGCUGGGAAUUUUGAUAGUGGGAUCAACCGAAGUUGAUACGGUAUUUGUAAAGUCUCAAGUCGAAUUAACUGCAUCUAUUGAACCGAAAUUGAACCUUUAAACUGAUAUCGAUUUUUUCUCUAAAAUGAAUUUGUGCCAGUGACUAACGCAGCCUGAAACAAUAUUCUGAUAAAUAUUUGUUCUAUUAUCGAAUUCACUUUGGAAGGUAAAGUUGGUAGUAAAAUGAACAUAUAUAUAUUUGUUAUAUAUUAUAUUAGUUUAUUUGGAUCAAAAUAGUGGAAGUGAGUUUCUUCCUUUUGUUCACUUUAUUACCAGCAUUAACAUCGCAAAUGAAAUUAUAAUAAUGUUUGUAUUUUAGUAAAAUUAGAAUACAUUUCAAAUUUGAAUUUUUUUUCCAAAAUGAAAAUCACAGCAGUCCAAAAGAAAUUUUUAGUGAAAAUCCCAUAUUAAUUUCCAAAAAGUUACUACGGGUUGUUCAUCCAAGAAAUACGUUGAGCUGUGGCAAGAAGCCACAGCUAUUCUUAACGUGAUGACGGGCCCGAAAAAACUUGGCAGUGGAGGGGGAUGGCAUGGUCCGAUAUAACAGCAAUAACUAAAUCUAAACUCGCCACACAGAGCGGCCUUAACCGGCUUGAGGCAGACAUUGCCGGUCUGAUUAAGCCCUCUGCGGUAGAAGGUGUGGCAAAUAUCCCCCUCCCAGUCGUCAAAUUAGAAUUUCCUUCGGGUAUGUCGGACACCCCGAUUUUUCCUGACAUGCUAGGGCCUUUGUCAGCUCCGGACGUGCCGCGCCAGCCCUUACAACGUUUAAGGAGUAAAAAGCAAAAAAGUUCCACAUAUAAUGCAUACGAAAAACAUGCUCAAUAUUUAAAAAAAAAUAAAGAUGAAGGAGGCACAUUAUCAACAAAAGAUGGAGGCUUUAGAGAAUAUUGUGGGUGCCUUGAAUACGUCCUCAGCGUCAAAUGCACAGGCCUUAAUCCAAACGGCCAAGGUGUUGUCAUAGACUGCUGUGGCACUGGACCACAUGGCGGAAGCCAUAAAUAAAUUAGCGCAGUAUCGAUGACUAUUUGUUUUUGUUACUAUUUUUGUUAAAAUUUA